GACAGAGGGUGCAAACGUUGUUCGGAAUUACUGGGCGUAAAGCGAGUGUAGGCGGUCUGUAAAGUCAGGUGUGAAAGCCCCGGGCUCAACCCGGGAAGUGCACUUGAAACUCACAGGCUAGAGUAUCGGAGAGGUUGGUGGAAUUCUCGGUGUAGAGGUGAAAUUCGUAGAUAUCGAGAGGAACACCGGUGGCGAAGGCGGCCAACUGGACGAAUACUGACGCUGAGGAGCGAAAGCGUGGGGAGCGAACAGG
rnacentral:rRNA from 1 species